AAUCUCAGCACUCUGGGAGGCUCAGGUGGGUGGAUCACCUGAGAUUGGGAGUCCGAGACCAGCCUGACCAACAUGGAGAAACCCUGCCUCCACUGAAAAUACAAAAAAUUGCCAGGCAUGGUGGUGCAUGCCUGUAAUCCCAGCUACUUCGGAGACUGAGGCAGGAGAAUCUCUUGAACCCAGGAGCAAGGCAAUUGCUGCUAUGGAAUGGACACAUCUGGGGACUCUGUAAACCCCUGAGGCAAGACUCUUCGUCGGUACUGCUGUUUUCGACUGGAGUGAAGGUCCUCCCACUCAAACACAAACAUGUCCCGGCUGUCCUCUGCCAAAGGAAUUUGAAUUCCGAGGAAGAUUUUAAUGGUUCUCAAUUCAUCACCAGCAUUGUCAUGGGACCCUGGAAAUGUCUCACAGACAUGUGUCACCUUUCCUUCUUUUUAUUCUCCAAGAUGGGAAGAGAUACACUAUCUCUUGCUUUCUCCACUAUCUCUUGGCUUCUCCCUUUUCUUCAAUCUCAAUAAAAAUAUGGUUAUCCUGAAAA